rnacentral:misc_RNA from 1 species
AUUGAUCCCGUGUUUGAUGGCGUUCCGAAGAUUUUAGUAUCAUCUGCGAACUGCGAGGACUUUGAUGGAGUUCUGCAUGGACUUCGACAUGUCUCAACCAAUGGACAAGGAUAUGUCAGAUUCAGAAAUGGACAGGAUUCUCGAAGAAUAUGGAUUAUAUGAAGAUGAAAUGACAAGAAUUGAGAAACGACAGCUGAUACAGACGUUGGAAGUAUCGAAAAUAUCAGCGCAGUCAGAGCAAGAAAGUCGACUCAAGAAAGAGGAUGACGUAGUUAUUCUUCAGAGUUCGCCUGCGCUGAAGCGUCAUGCGUCCUCUGCAGGGACGAGCAUGACCGAUGCGUCUCCGGGAGCUGAGCCUUCGCCGCUGAUCGGCGGGGCGGCGCUGGCGCAGAGACGGCGACCACUGCGCGCUCCGGCCGGCGCCAGCCGCACAGUCAUCGUGUCAGAACCCGUGCAGCGGGAGUCGCAGACAGCAGACAGCCGGGCUGCAGAUGUGCGGACUGCGGACAGCCGGACAAGCAGCGAGCCGCCCAAACCGCCGGCAGCAGACAGUCGCAGAGUCGUUGUCACAGACACUCGGGAGCGGAAGUCACGGACAUCAGGCAACCAAGAGAAGCGUCUUCGAAGUACAGCAGACACCGACCAGGGGCCUGCUAAGGUAGCGACCACCUCGGGUGGAGCCCGUGACUCGGGAGACAGCUCAGACAGCUCCGAUAGUUCUGUCAAAGAGACCACUGCAGGCCGUCGACGGUCGGCGGCGCGCGACAGUGGAUCGGAGCCUGCGGCGUCGCCGGCUGACAGUGGAUCGGAGCCUGCGGCGUCGCCGGCUGACAGUGGAUCGGAGCCUGCGGCGUCGCCGGCUGACAGUGGAUCGGAGCCUGCGGCGUCGCCGGCUGACAGUGGAUCGGAGCCUGCGGCGUCGCCGGCUGACAGUGGAUCGGAGCCUGCGGCGUCGCCGGCUGACAGUGGAUCGGAGCCUGCGGCGUCGCCGGCUGACAGUGGAUCGGAGCCUGCGGCGUCGCCGGCUGACAGUGGAUCGGAGCCUGCGGCGUCGCCGGCUGACAGUGGAUCGGAGCCUGCGGCGUCGCCGGCUGACAGUCCGCCAGCAUCGCCGCCGCGGCCGAAACUGUACUACGUGAACCACGAGGGCCGUCGGGAGGCGGUGGAGCGCUCGGAGCGCGCCACGCGGCUGCUGGAGCUCCUCUCGGACGGCCGGUCGGUGGAGGAGAAUGUGCACCGCGUGCUGCGUCACCUGGAGCAGCAGCAGGAGCGUGCGCUGGCCGCCGCCGAGCAGCGCACCUGGCAGGACGAUAUACCGCCGUCACGCACCUUCCACGAGUCCAGCCUGCCGUCGCGGCUCGACCCGGCGCGGCUCGAGUACCGGCCGAAGGCACCACUGGCUCGGAAAAGGUCAGCCGCGCCCGACACUGAUAAGGUGCCUGCCGCGCGGAAAAGAUCAGCGGCGCCCGAGUCUGGUAAAAUGCCAGCGACGCGGAGGAAGCCGUCAGUCACGCCCGAACCCGAUAAGACGCCGAGUCCUGAGCCUCCACCAAGUCCGCAACAGCGGCGACCAACAUCGCCGCCGCCCCAGCCGCGUGAGCCGGGGGUUUCCGGCGGUCUGCCGACCGUGGACGGUGGCCGCCAACACUCGCGGGCCAGCCAGCUGCUGCAGCGCGCCAUCGACACACACUCGGCAAAGAAACGGCCGGCCACGACCAAACUGUCACUCAAACUGUCCACCCGGCCUCGCCCAGACGCUGCCGCCGCCGAUGGGUCCAGUCCCCCAGAGCGACCCAGUUCGAGCGGCGGCCCGCUGUCCCGCGGCACUGCGCUGUCCGUGCCGCUGCUUCCGGAGCUAUCUGCGGAGGAGGAGCCACCCUCGGCCGCCGCGCCGCCCGCCCGCCGGCGGCCCGUCUCGCCGGUCGCCGGCCCGUCCGGUCUGGCCAGACAGUCGCGUCGCCGUCUGGCCAGCGCCGAGAUCCGGCCGGCGCCGCUGCGACUGCCGCGUCGGUCACGGCUCGACCAGAACGGCCGCGUCAUGGUGCCGCUGGUAACAAAGGUUCAGGCGCCGGGAGGUCCGUCUAAGCAGCCAGCGGCCUCCGCGCUGACUGCCGGCGUUAACUCUUCGUCUUCGGAUGACGACGGUGGCGCACCGGCGACCAGUCGCGCCCGUGCUACCGGUCGGGGAGGGAGGCUCCCCGCUACCGGUGGGAACCGGUUAGGGUCCUCUGACGCCACCACCGGCCGGCCGGGACCCUCCGAUAUCGGCCGGUCGCGACCCUCCAGUUCUGGUGAUGGUGGCGACGGCGUAUUGGCCACCCCGUCUGGGACAAGUAACGGUGCGGCUGCAGCAGCUUCAGGAGACGCCGCCGGACAGAGGGUGCAGUGUCCGCUCUGUGCUGCCUUCUUCCCCAGCGACAAAAUCGAGGCGCACGCCAGUCGGUGUGAAGGUGACGACGUGAUGGAGAUAGAGGAGAGUCCGUCUCCGCCGAUGCGCCGGUCGGCCACCAACGCCAUCCGCGAACGGUGGCGAGGCGAACGGGGUACCUGAGGACGUCCGGCCGCCAUUGACGGUUCCGCUCACUCCCGUACAGAACGGCAGCGGCCGACACGCGAACACCGGAAUAUUCUCAGGCUCGGGCUUCUCGCCGACGUUCCAGCGGAUCAGCGCGCAGACCGGCUCGUGCA